UACGAAGGGGGCGAGCGUUGUUCGGAAUUACUGGGCGUAAAGGGCGCGUAGGCGGCCGAGCAAGUUAGAUGUGAAAGUCCUGGGCUUAACCUGGGGACUGCAUUUGAUACUGCUUGGCUUGAAUUCGGGAGAGGAUAGCGGAAUUCCCAGUGUAGAGGUGAAAUUCGUAGAUAUCUGGAGGAAUACCGGUGGCGAAGGCGGCAUCCUGGACCGACAUUGACGCUGAGGAGCGAAAGCUAGGGGAGCAAACGGG
rnacentral:rRNA from 1 species